CAUUUGAAAUAAAAAGUUGUUUUUGCAGAGAAAUGAUAAGCGCGGCCACUCAUGGCUGGUAUAGAACACGCCUGAGGCAUAUUUUUUUCAACAAUUUUCUCUCUCAUUUCGUCUCUCAAUUUCACAUUUAUUUUUGACGUAUUGGUUGGAAUUUUAUAUGGAGUUUUUCUCCCAUCGGUUCCAUGUAAGCAAUCUGUCAUCGUCAGGCGUGUUCUAUCCCAGCCAUGAGUGGCCGCUCUUAUCAU